GACGAACGCUUGGCGGCGUGCCUAAUACAUGCAAGUCGAACGAGAGCGACCGGUGCUUGCACUUGGUCAAUCUAGUGGCGAACGGGUGAGUAACACGUGGGUAACCUGUCCAUCAGAGGGGGAUAACAUCCGGAAACGGAUGCUAAAACCGCAUAGGUCUUCGAGCCGCAUGGCUUGAAGAGGAAAAGAGGCGCAAGCUUCUGCUGAUGGAUGGACCCGCGGUGCAUUAGCUAGUUGGUGAGGUAACGGCUCACCAAGGCCGUGAUGCAUAGCCGACCUGAGAGGGUGAUCGGCCACAUUGGGACUGAGACACGGCCCAAACUCCUACGGGAGGCAGCAGUAGGGAAUCUUCCGCAAUGGACGCAAGUCUGACGGAGCAACGCCGCGUGAGUGAAGAAGGUUUUCGGAUCGUAAAACUCUGUUGUUAGAGAAGAACAAGUGCUAGAGUAACUGUUAGCGCCU
rnacentral:rRNA from 1 species